rnacentral:tRNA from 2 species
GGUUUUAUAUUUUAAGGAAAAUAUUAAAUUGCAAAUUUAAAGAUACAUGAAUAAAUGUUAGGACUU